UUCUAUGGUGGUCAUGCACAGGGCGUCUUCGGGCGCGCCGGUCUCCUCGCAUCCCGGUCUACCAACCUGCGCAUGGCCACCACCCUA
rfam:Pseudomonas sp. GM78 PMI35_contig256.256, whole genome shotgun sequence.